UCUACAGCAACCAAUGAAAAAAAAAUGAAAAAUAAAAAUAAUCGUAAAUUUUCGAUUUUAAAGGAAACAACAAUAUUCUCACAAACGAUUUAGAAAAAAAAGAAAAAAGGGAGCUUAUUUCCCAUGUCAAAUAAGCAUCCCUUAAAACAUGAAAUAAAAGUAUGCAUUGAGGAAAUGAACGUGCACAUUAAUAAAGUGGUUUCUCAAAUAGGGGGCCCCCUUUCCUUUCCGCGCCAACAUGUGGGUGUAUAUCUAGGCCGUACCUAGCUCCACGGGGCAAUCAACCCCCUUUUUCGAAGCCAACCACCGAGACCAUCCUCUUGCACGAGGAAUGCGCGGUGUAGGUCAGCUGCUCCUUCUGUAAAACUAAACUUCCUGCGUCCACGUGCACAUCUGCUCCCUUUCAGACACCUGGAAGGGGAAAUCUCGUGGUCCUGGAUGAGUAUACGUAGUCACGUAUCACGUGUAUCCCGAGGGUUCUUCGCGACUCGAUGGUGUACGUGUAUAAUGACGGAGGAACAUAAAUAUUCUCGUCGUUAAUUGCAGGUUUCAUCAAUGAAAAUUUCUCCAGUUCGAGAUAACGUUGCAACGAGCAAAAUCCUUGAGAUGUUAGAUCCCAUAUCGGGAAAGUGGCAGGAAUUCCGAGCAAACGGGACACCCUGUAUUCGCUUGGUUGUGUAAUCGGCCUUAAGGAUAAACGGACGCACACACGUUUAAGUACCAUUCGCAAGUAGGGAGGUUCGUAUCACAAAACGGCCAAGUGAAAGGAUAGGCACCAGUUCAUCUUGUGUCUCAACCUCCAACCAACCUUCUCGAAUAUAUCCAUUCGUGCUGCAAAAGGAAAAUACAUUCUGUUUAUUCGUUGCUUGUUUUACGAGGGCACGCAUAAGUUAUUACAUAAAUUUCUACCAUUCAUGGUGAUGCACAGACAUGGAUAGAAGAAUUAAAAAAAGUUACACAACAACUAAAAGAUGGUACAAAUUCACCUUCUAUAAUUCUCAACAGGAAAUUUCAGCAAGUAUUUCCCUCAAUUUACCUAACAUCACAAAAGAAUCAGUCAACAAUUUAUCAUCACACGACAUCUUUCUCUUAUUUCGAUCUUCAUCUACCAACGUGUAAUUAAGGAUCAUGAAUAUUCGACCGCCAUUCCGUUUCCUUUUUUCCAUCGAUCUAAACUAUCAGUAUCUCGAUCUAGAUAACUGAUUAUAACAUUUCCACGAGCAAUUCAAUUUUACGUAGAAGGAAAAGCGAAAUCUGAAUCAAUGAUAUUCUCAGACGUUGAACAUCUUCGAAAGCGUGCACAACAUCUGUUCGCCUCAACUGUGAAAUCACCUCCAAUUUCCAACGUGGAAAGAAACCUUUCGAACUCAACUCGACUGGACAAAAUAACGAUGAAAUCACAGAGAAACGCGCCGCUUGCACGGAUCGAGGAUGCACCUGCAUCUGGUGCAUUUUCGGAUGGAUCACUGGCCAGAUGUCUCUCAUACCCAUGUCGAGCUUUGGUACACGUUUCUGGGUGCUGUUCAAAAUUAUCCAGAAUUCGAUUAUUCUUUUUGAAGUGAAUUUGCGAAUAAUUUAACAUAGAAGAUUUUAAAUACUGUUCACUGCUUUGAUUGAGUGCUGUUAUGUGAAAUGUUGUAUUCGUUGAAUUGAUAAUAUGAAUAAUAAUGAGAUAAUGUGAAUAAGUUCAAAAA